GCCCUGUCGCUUGCCGCCGGGCAAGCUUUUCCAGGAGCUUCCGGAGGCCGCUCCGGUAUCCCCGGCUGAGCGCAGCUUAGCGUAGUAGAGACCUGAGGACAACCGCCCUUAGAUCCUCUGCCUUCCUCUGGUGCCUUCCCCUCCCUGAAGGGGAGGACUUGGGGGAGAAGUUAAGGACACCCGCUUUGGAGUCCCAUCCCAGCCCUGCCUUGGACAGGCGCGGUGUUUCACGCCUGUAAUCCCAGAAUUUUGAGAGGCUGAGAUGAGAGGAUCUCUUGAGCCCAAGAGUUGGAGACCAGCCGGGACAACAUGGACUGAAUGCUAGCCGUGCUGCCACACACCCACGUCACGCACAGUGUCUCCCACCGUCUCCACCCCAUGUCACAGCGGUGGUGUUCCGCUCAAUACUCCAGGGCUUCUUCGACUGGGGUGAGCCACACUCAAGAACCACCUUUUCUUGACAGCACAGGAGCCACCUGCUCCCCGCCUCUGGGGUCCAGGAGCAGUGGAGUUCUUGGCAUCUCCUCAUAGCUGGGGCGGCUCAACCUCCAGUAAGGCCAGCGAGGACCCCAGCCUGCUGGUGCCCUAAGCUGGGAAUGCUGAGUGACGGGGAGGUGUUCUGCUGCCUCCCUGGUCAGCUAGGGGUGGGGGUGUGGCAGAAAAUGGACUGUCUUCAGAACUGGUGCGGUUCCAGGGCCCAACCGGCCUGAGAGCAGGCCUCUCGACUCCACCUCCCCGCCCCACGAUCCCUGAGUCGUCUUCCCUGCCUGCCUCCCCCUGGCCUCCUCACUGGGCUUGAGAGAAGAGCUGGAGGGGCCGGAGUACCCAAUCAUUUGCUUGGCUUUGGGGUGAUCUGUUUUCAUUUCUUUGGUGCUACAACAAUAAAAAUUUUAAAAUAAAAAAAAAACAAGUCAGCAAAACACAUAAAAAAGA